CCUGAACGCUGGCGGCGUGGCUAAGACAUGCAAGUCGCACGGGCGUAGCAAUACGUCAGUGGCGGACGGGUGAGUAAUGAAUCGCUAACGUGCCCCGGACUCUGGGAUAGCCAGCCGAAA
rnacentral:rRNA from 1 species